rnacentral:rRNA from 1 species
GACGAACGCUGGCGGCGUGCUUAACACAUGUAAGUCGAACGAUGAAGCCGGAGCUUGCUCUGGUGAAUUAGUGGCGAACGGGUGAGUAACACGUGAGUAACCUGCCCUUGACUCUGGGAUAACUGCGGGAAACUGUAGCUAAUACCCGAUACGACCCUCGGAGGCAUCUCCUGGGGGUGGAAAGAAUUUCGGUCAGGGAUGGACUCGCGGCCUAUCAGCUAGUUGGUGAGGUAACGGCUCACCAAGGCGACGACGGGUAGCCGGCCUGAGAGGGUGACCGGCCACACUGGGACUGAGACACGGCCCAGACUCCUACGGGAGGCAGCAGUGGGGAAUAUUGCACAAUGGGCGCAAGCCUGAUGCAGCAACGCCGCGUGAGGGAUGACGGCCUUCGGGUUGUAAACCUCUUUUAGUAGGGAAGAAGCGAAAGUGACGGUACCUGCAGAAAAAGCACCGGCUAACUACGUGCCAGCCGCCGCCGUAA